rnacentral:rRNA from 1 species
GCCGCCCGUGACUCGGCGAGAAGUCCAUUGAACCUUAUCAUUUAGAGGAAGGAGAAGUCGUAACAAGGUUUCCGUAGGUGAACCUGCGGAAGGAUCAUUG